rnacentral:tRNA from 1 species
GCCCCCGUGGUGGAAUUGGCAUACACAGCAGGUUGAGGGCCUGUGUCCGUAACGGACGUACUGGUUCGAGUCCAGUCGGGGGCACCA